CAGACUUUGGGCAGGAAUGAGGAUAACAAAAUGCACCGUCUGAGGGUUGAGCGUUGCACAAAUUUUUUGUCUGGUGAUUAUUGCUUUGGGUUUGCUUCUAGACUCUGCCUCUUCCCCAACUCGACGAAGGAGGGACGCUUGGUGGUAAGAAGGAAUCAGGACAACUCUGUUUUUGGAUGACGGGAGAGGCCAUUUCGAGCACCCCGGUAUGCAUAACUUCAAGGUCAUGUGUAUAUUUUACUCAGUCUACCCUUGAAAUAAUUUAAACUUUAGUCAUUUUUCAUUCCUUGUGCAUUCAAUAUAUGAUUUUUCACUCCCCUUCAUAGUUGAAUUAUUUGGACAAAAAGGAAUUCAUGCUGUAAAACGGUCAAAGCGUUUUUGUAUCCCAUAAUCUAGCAAUAUAGUGUAGGAUAAGGUGAACGAUGAA